CCCCUCCUCCCCAUCUCCUCGCCGCCGCCAUCGACGGCGCUCCCCUCGAUCCCUCCCACCGUCGUCUCCCUCCCUCAGAUCGAGCUCCCCCUCCCCUCUCCCUCCCACCUCUCGAAGCUCCCGCGUCCCACUGCCGUGCACCGUGCUCCUCUCGCUGCGCCCCGUGCAGCCGUCGACGCGCGUGACGAGAAGGAUUCUCGCGCCGCCUCUGCUUCCGCAGGGGCGCCUCGCCGUCGGCUGCCGCGCGAGCGCGCUUGCCUCAUCGCCGUUGUUGCCUCGCGCGUGCCCCGUCUUCGCGUGCCACGCCGCCACUGCCUUCCAGAAGCUCGACGCCGUCGGUGAGUCCCCCUUCUUUGUGGUCUCCCUGCUUUGGAACCUUGCAGUGCUGAUUAGUUGUGGCUUUGCGCGAUUGACUGAAUGACUGAAUGUUGGUCGUCUGUCGCACGCGCGGGCAUCGGUGCGGGAGGAGGAGGAUGCCUUCAGGUCGGCGGCUGCGGUUGCGGCGGGGAACACGCUGCUGCCCCUCCAGCGCUGCAUCUUCUCCAACCACCUCACGCCGGUGCUGGCUCGUCCGGGAGGACGACCGCUAGGCGCCCAGCUUCCUCUUCGAGUCUGUCGAGCACGCCUCCGAGGGCACCAAUGUGGGGAUUAAUCCAGAUCCUCGGGGUCAUCGGUGGUGGCAGCCCUCCCCAGCUGCACCGGCUCGUCGAAGGACGCGAUGAGCGGAUGCAGAGAUGCACCACACGUCCGACUACUUGAAGAUAGAAUCUGGACGCCCUUCCCUGGUCGACGACACCCUUCCCUGGUCGAUCAUCAAGGUGGCGGCGCGGACGGCGAUCGGGUUCGUCGUCAUGGGGUUCGUCGGCUUCUUCGUCAAGCUCAUCUUCAUCCCCAUCAACAACAUCAUCGUCGGCUCCGGCUAGAUGGCAAGCACCAUUUUGUUGGUUCCUGUCUUGCCAAUGUCUACAGCAAUGUGUGCGUCCUUUGUCUCAUCUGUGGCAUUACCGUAGGGAAACUCAUAAUGGGCCUAUCAAGCAUACUGACCUUGUGAUGAUAGAUAAAGAGGGCGAUGGUUGAAGGCAUGAUGAUAGUUCUAUUGUUGUCCUAGUGUAGCGAAGGUAGCCUAGUCAACUAUGGUCGCGUAGUUAGUCAUGCAUACAGUUUCAUCUGACUGGAGCAGGAGCCCAGUUUGUGCUGAUUGUCAAUUCUCAUUGUGAUUGUCCCUAUAUCUGUGUGACCGAUUGUAUUUGUAUCUGUGUUGUAACUGUGUCAUGACAGAAGGAGCCCAGUAUAUCUGUAUGACUGAUAUAACUGAUUGAUUCUCGUUGUUGUUAUUUGAAAUGUUACUUGUGUUUUUUGUCUAUUCUUA